rnacentral:misc_RNA from 1 species
CUAACCUCCCACCCGUGAAUACCUGACCAACGUUGCUUCGGCGGUGCGCCCCCCCCCCCCGGGGGUAGCCCCCGGAAACCACCCCGAACCCCCGGUCUUUAGGGUUGUCUGAGCUUGAUAGCAAACCUAUUAAAACUUUCAACAAGGGAUCUCUUGGUUCCGGCAUCGAUGAAAAACGCAGCGAACUGCGAUAAGUAAUGGGAAUUGCAAAAUUCAGUGAAUCAUCGAGUCUUUGAACGCACAUUGCGCCCCCGGGCAUUCCGGGGGGCAUGCCUGUCCGAGCGUCAUUGCUGCCCUUCAAGCCCGGCUUGGGUGUUGGGUCGCCGUCCCCCCCGGGGGACGGGCCCAAAAGGCAGCGGCGGCACCGCGUCCGGUCCUCGAGCGUAUGGGGCUUUGUCCCCCGCUCGAUUAGGGCCGGCCGGGCGCCAGCCGGCGUCUCCAACCUUCUAUUUUACCAGGUUG